rnacentral:rRNA from 1 species
GAUGAACGCUAGCGGCAGGCUUAACACAUGCAAGUCGAGGGGUAUUGGUUUUCGGACCAAGAGACCGGCGCACGGGUGCGUAACGCGUAUGCAAUCUACCUUUUGCAGAGGGAUAGCCCCAGAGAAAUUUGGAUUAAUACCUCAUAGUAUAGUACUUUGGCAUCAAGGAACUAUUAAAGUCACAACGGCAAAAGAUGAGCAUGCGUCCCAUUAGCUAGUUGGUAAGGUAACGGCUUACCAAGGCUACGAUGGGUAGGGGUCCUGAGAGGGAGAUCCCCCACACUGGUACUGAGACACGGACCAGACUCCUACGGGAGGCAGCAGUGAGGAAUAUUGGACAAUGGGCGCAAGCCUGAUCCAGCCAUGCCGCGUGCAGGAUGACGGUCCUAUGGAUUGUAAACUGCUUUUGUACAGGAAGAAACACUACUUCGUGAAGUAGCUUGACGGUACUGUAAGAAUAAAGGAUCGGCUAAACUCGUGCCAGCAGCCG